rnacentral:rRNA from 1 species
UAGAGUUUGAUCCUGGCUCAGAUUGAACGCUGGCGGCAUGCCUAACACAUGCAAGUCGAACGGCAGCACAGGUAGCAAUACCGGGUGGCGAGUGGCGGACGGGUGAGGAAUACAUCGGGACCUGCCCAGACGUGGGGGAUAACGUAGGGAAACUUACGCUAAUACCGCAUACGUCCUACGGGAGAAAGCGGGGGAUCUUCGGACCUCGCGCGGUUGGAUGGACCGAUGUUCGAUUAGCUAGUUGGUGAGGUAAUGGCUCACCAAGGCGACGAUCGAUAGCUGGUCUGAGAGGAUGAUCAGCCACACUGGGACUGAGACACGGCCCAGACUCCUACGGGAGGCAGCAGUGGGGAAUAUUGGACAAUGGGCGCAAGCCUGAUCCAGCAAUGCCGCGUGUGUGAAGAAGGCCUUCGGGUUGUAAAGCACUUUUAUCAGGAGCGAAAUACUACGGGUUAAUACCUCGUGGGGCUGACGGUACCUGAGGAAUAAGCACCGGCUAACUUCGUGCCAGCAGCCGCGGUAAUACGAAGGGUGCAAGCGUUAAUCGGAAUUACUGGGCGUAAAGCGUGCGUAGGCGGUUUUUUAAGUCUGCUGUGAAAUCCCCGGGCUCAACCUGGGAAUGGCAGUGGAUACUGGAAAGCUAGAGUGUGAGAGAGGAUGGUGGAAUUCCCGGUGUAGCGGUGAAAUNNGUAGAGAUCGGGA